rnacentral:rRNA from 1 species
UACGGGAAGGCAGCAGUGGGGAAUAUUGCACAAUGGGCGAAAGCCUGAUGCAGCUAUGCCGCGUGUAUGAAGAAGGCCUUAGGGUUGUAAAGUACUUUCAUCGGGGAGGAAAAAACAAAACUAAUAAUUUUAUUUCUUGACGUUACCCGAAAAAGAAGCACCGGCUAACUCCGUGCCAGCAGCCGCGGUAAUACGGAGGGUGCUAGCGUUAAUCAGAAUUACUGGGCGUAAAGAGCACGUAGGUGGUUUUUUUAAGUCAGAUGUGAAAUCCCUGGGCUUAACCUAGGAACUGCAUUUUGAAACUGAAAUACUAGAGUAUCGUAGAGGGAGGUAGAAUUCUAGGUGUAGCGGUGAAAUGCGUAGAUAUCUGGAGGAAUACCUGUGGCGAAAGCGGCCUCCUAAACGAAUACUGACACUGAGGGUGCGAAAGCGUGGGGAGCAAACAGGAUUAGAUACC